rnacentral:rRNA from 1 species
UACGUAGGUGGCAAGCGUUGUCCGGAAUUAUUGGGCGUAAAGCGCGCGCAGGCGGCCUUUUAAGUCUGAUGUGAAAGCCCACGGCUCAACCGUGGAAGGUCAUUGGAAACUGAAAGGCUUGAGUACAGAAGAGGAAAGCGGAAUUCCACGUGUAGCGGUGAAAUGCAUAGAGAUGUGGAGGAACACCAGUGGCGAAGGCGGCUUUCUGGUCUGUAACUGACGCUGAGGCGCGAAAGCGUGGGGAGCAAACAGG